rnacentral:rRNA from 1 species
CACGUAGGAGGCGAGCGUUGUCCGGAAUCAUUGGGCGUAAAGAGCGCGCAGGCGGCUUGGCAAGUCGGGUGUGAAAUCCCGGGGCUCAACCCCGUGACUGCAUCCGAUACUGUCAGGCUAGAGGUAGGUAGGGGAGAUCGGAAUUCCUGGUGUAGCGGUGAAAUGCGCAGAUAUCGGGAAGAAUACCCGUGGCGAAGGCGGCCGACUGGGCCGGAUCCGACGCUGAUGCGCGAAAGCGUGGGGAGCAAACAGG